rnacentral:miRNA from 1 species
ACUCAUAAUGUUGCAAC